UUAUUCCUUCAUAGCAUUUUCACCAUGUUCUGGGUGUUAGUUAUUACCAUGCUUAUAGCCUACUGGGACAGUUGCAAAGCCCAGCUUAGCUUGUCUCAGCCUCCCACACAAUCAGUACCUGUAGGACAAACAGUGAAACUGCCCUGCACCAUGACUGGGGGCAGCAUCAGUAGCUUCUAUGUGUCCUGGCACCAGCAGCGACCUGGGACUGCACCACGAUACCUUCUGUACUACUAUACUGAUUCUGAUAAGCACCAAGGCACUGGGGUUCCAGCUCGAUUCUCUGCAUCUAAGGAUAACUCUCAGAACAUCUGCUAUUUAACCAUCUCUGGUGCCCAGGCAGAGGAUGAAGCAGAUUAUUACUGCAGUGUAGGACCUCACAGUGAUACAGCUGUACAAGGAACUGAACCAGAAACCUUCUGCCUCACCACAUGUGCCUCUACACAGUGCAUGCAUAUACAGAGCAGUAUUUACAGAACAGACAGCAAACUGCUGCAGGUCAAAUAUAAGAAUUAUGUACUAUGGAAAUGGAAGAUCUAUAAGACUAUCCUGAGGGUUGUAGUACUUGAGGGACUUGUGGAUUAG